rnacentral:rRNA from 1 species
CGUAGGGACCAAGCGUUGUCCGGAUUCAUUGGGCGUAAAGAGCUCGUAGGCGGCUCAGUAAGUCGGGUGUGAAACCUCCAGGCUCAACCUGGAGACGCCACCCGAUACUGCUGUGGCUAGAGUCCAGUAGGGGAGCGUGGAAUUCCUGGUGUAGCGGUGAAAUGCGCAGAUAUCAGGAGGAACACCAGCGGCGAAGGCGGCGCUCUGGGCUGGAACUGACGCUGAGGAGCGAAAGCGUGGGGAGCGAACAGGAUUAGAUACCCUGGUAGUCCACGCCGUAAACGUUGGGUACUAGGUGUGGGGUCUUAUCAACGGAUUCCGUGCCGAAGCUAACGCAUUAAGUACCCCGCCUGGGGAGUACGGCCGCAAGGCUA